rnacentral:rRNA from 1 species
AUCCGGAUACAGUUACGUAACGUUUCUUAAGUCUGAUGUGAAAGCCCACGCCUCAACCGUGGAGGGUCAUUGGAAACUGGGAAACUUGAGUGCAGAAGAGGAGAGUGGAAUUCCAUGUGUAGCGGUGAAAUGCGCAGAGAUAUGGAGGAACACCAGUGGCGAAGGCGGCUCUCUGGUCUGUAAGGAUACGCUGAUGUGCGAAAGCGUGGGGAUCAAACAGGAUUAGAUACCCUGGUAGUCCACGCCGUAAACGAUGAGUGCUAAGUGUUAGGGGGUUUCCGCCCCUUAGUGCUGCAGCUAACGCAUUAAGCACUCCGCCUGGGGAGUACGACCGCAAGGUUGAAACUCAAAGGAAUUGACGGGGACCCGCACAAGCGGUGGAGCAUGUGGUCUAAUUCGAAGCAACGCGAAGAACCUUACCAAAUCUUGACAUCCUUUGACCGCUCUAGAGAUAGAGUCCUCCCCUUCGGGGGACAAAGUGACAGGUGGUGCAUGGUUGUCGUCAGCUCGUGUCGUGAGAUGUUGGGUUAAGUCCCGCAACGAGCGCAACCCUUAAGCUUAGUUGCCAUCAUUAAGUUCUGCACUCUAGGUUGACUGCCGGUGACAAACCGGAGGAAGGUGGGGAUGACGUCAAAUCAUCAUGCCCCUUAUGAUUUGGGCUACACACGUGCUACAAUGGAUAAUACAAAGGGCAGCGAAUCCGCGAGGCCAAGCAAAUCCCAUAAAAUUAUUCUCAGUUCGGAUUGUAGUCUGCAACUCGACUACAUGAAGCUGGAAUCGCUAGUAAUCGUAGAUCAGCAUGCUACGGUGAAUACGUUCCCGGGUCUUGUACACACCGCCCGUCACACCACGAGAGUCUGUAACACCCGAAGCCGGUGGAGUAACCUUUUAGGAGCAUAACGAGUUGCUGGAGAGUUACGUACGAUCAGUCAAGGUAC